UCAAGUAGAAAAGGGCGCAUGGUGAAUGCCUAGGCACUAGAAGCCGAUGAAGGACGUGACGAACCACGAAAGGCUUCGGGGAGCAGUAAGUAAGCGAUGAUCCGGAGAUAUCCGAAUGGGGGAACCCAAUACCGCGAGGUAUUAUCAAGAGCUGUUAAGGCUGUUGAAGGAAGACGCAGUGAACUGAAACAUCUAAGUAGCUGCAGGAAGAGAAAGAAAAAUCGAUUUCCCAAGUAGCGGCGAGCGAACAGGAAAGAGCCCAAACCAGCUGGCUUGCCAGUUGGGGUAGUAGGACUGCAAUAAAGUACUUGAAGCGAUAGCAGAAUUAUCUGGAAAGAUAAGCCAGAGAGGGUGAGAGCCCCGUAAGCGAAAUUGCAGAGAGACUUAGCAGGAUCCUGAGUAGGUCGGGACACGAGGAAUCCCGAUUGAAACCGCGAGGACCAUCUCGCAAGGCUAAAUACUAACUAGUGACCGAUAGUGAACCAGUACCGUGAGGGAAAGGUGAAAAGAACCCCGGAAGGGGAGUGAAAGAGAACCUGAAACCGUGUGCCUACAAGUAGUCAAAGCACAUUAAAGUGUAAUGGCGUGCCUUUUGUAGAAUGAACCGGCGAGUUACGUUAUGGUGCAAGGUUAAGUCAGAAAAGACGGAGCCGGAGCGAAAGCGAGUCUGAAGAGGGCGAGAGAGUAUCAUGACGUAGACCCGAAACCAAGUGACCUACCCAUGACCAGGUUGAAGGCGUGGUAAAACACGCUGGAGGACCGAACCCACGUGAGUUAAAAAUCGCGGGGAUGAGUUGUGGGUAGCGGUGAAAUUCCAAACGAACUUGGAGAUAGCUGGUUCUCUCCGAAAUAGCUUUAGGGCUAGCCUCGUGUGAAUGAUAAUGGAGGUAGAGCGCUGUUUGGACUAGGGGCCCGUCAGGGGUUACUGAAUCCAGAUAAACUCCGAAUGCCAGAUAUCAAUGCACGGGAGUCAGACUGCGAGUGAUAAGAUCCGUAGUCGAAAGGGAAACAGCCCAGAUCACCAGUUAAGGUCCCCAAAUCUAUGCUAAGUGGAAAAGGAUGUGGAGUUGCGUAGACAACUAGGAUGUUGGCUUAGAAGCAGCCACCAUUUAAAGAGUGCGUAAUAGCUCACUAGUCGAGUGACGCUGCGCCGAAAAUGUACCGGGGCUAAGCAUAGUACCGAAACUGUGGAUGCAUAUCAAAGGAUAUGCGUGGUAGGAGAGCGUUCUAAGUGCGGAGAAGUUAGAUCGAGAGGACUAAUGGAGCGCUUAGAAGUGAGAAUGCCGGUAUGAGUAGCGAAAGAUAGGUGAGAAUCCUAUCCGCCGAAAGACUAAGGUUUCCUGGGGCAGGCUCGUCCGCCCAGGGUAAGUCGGGACCUAAGGUAAGGCCGAGAGGCGUAGCCGAUGGACAACAGGUAGAGAUUCCUGUACUGAAAUUGUUCGAUAAGAGCAAAGGAGGGACGCAGGAGGCUAAUGACGCAUGUAGCUGGAAAAACAUGUGCAAGCAGUAAGAAAAAACAUGAGUCAAAUGCUUAUGUUUAGAUUUCAAGCUGUGACGCGGAGUGAAAUCAAAGUAGCGAAGGUCAUGAUGUCACACUGCCAAGAAAAGCUUCUAGCCAGAGCAAUUUUACCCGUACCGCAAACCGACACAGGUAGUCGAGUGGAGAACACUCAGGUGAGCGAGAGAACUCUCGUUAAGGAACUCGGCAAAAUGACCCCGUAACUUCGGGAGAAGGGGUGCUGAUGGUAAAAGAUCAGCCGCAGUGAAUAGGCCCAAACAACUGUUUAUCAAAAACACAGGUAUCUGCAAAAUCGUAAGAUGACGUAUAGGUGCUGACACCUGCCCGGUGCUGGAAGGUUAAGAGGAGAGCUUAGCGCAAGCGAAGGUUUGAAUUGAAGCCCCAGUAAACGGCGGCCGUAACUAUAACGGUCCUAAGGUAGCGAAAUUCCUUGUCGGGUAAGUUCCGACCUGCACGAAAGGUGUAAUGAUUUGGGCACUGUCUCAACGAGAGACUCGGUGAAAUUAUAAUACCCGUGAAGAUGCGGGUUACCCGCGACAGGACGGAAAGACCCCAUGGAGCUUUACUGUAGCUUGAUAUUGAGUAUUUGUUAAACAUGUACAGGAUAGGUAGGAGCCAGAGAAAGUAGGACGCUAGUCUUACUGGAGGCAAUGUUGGGAUACUACCCUUGUUUGAUGGAUCCUCUAACUCGCAGAGCUGAGCGUUCUGGAGGACAGUGUCAGGUGGGCAGUUUGACUGGGGCGGUCGCCUCCUAAAAUGUAACGGAGGCGCCCAAAGGUUCCCUCAGAAUGGUUGGAAAUCAUUCGCAGAGUG
rnacentral:rRNA from 1 species